rnacentral:lncRNA from 1 species
UAAGCCGGAUAUUGUUAAGGCAAAGAAUAUCAAUUUGAACAUCCCGUUUCUGAUUUGGCGGAGAAUGGCAAAGGUAUUAAGACUUCGGGUCAGAAUGAGCGGUUGCCUUUCCCGUUGAUUAUCACGAGGAUUCUGCGACUUUAUGAGGUGGAUACGCGUUGUGCAUCCUAUUAGCAUAGUCUGGGAUGGAUAAGUGAGACGACGUUUGUGAAGUCGUAUGUGCAGCUUCGAACUCCGUCUCAGCAACCUUCUCCACCUCCUGCUUCCUCACGUCCUUCUGUGGAGAUUUCUGAGGAGGAUGUCUCGGUGUCGUCUGUGUAUCGCGAGCAGCAGCGUUUAUCUGAGGAACUGAGGAAGAUGUCUGAGGAGCAAGCUAUGAUAAAGAAAGAUGUGAGCAAGAUCAAACGGUUAAUGCAGGCGAUUUUCGACAAGUUAGGUUGUUGCAGUGCAGAUUUACCUCCGGGUGAUGACUCAGACUAGAUAUUGCGGAGUUCCUCCUUUUGUCAUUUUGGCACUUUCUGACAAAAAGGGGGAGAUGCUCAUGAUGAUGAUGAUGUUGCUCAUGAUGCUCA